rnacentral:rRNA from 1 species
ACGUAGGUCCCAAGCGUUAUCCGGAUUUACUGGGCGUAAAGCGUCUGUAGCCGGUAAUAUAAGUCUGCAUUCAAAUCCCGGGGCUCAACCUCGGAAAGGGUGCAGAUACUGUAUCACUAGAAUGGAAUAGGGGGUAGUAGAAUUUCCAGUGGAGGAGUGAAAUCCGUUGAUAUUGGAAGGAAUACCAAAAGCGAAGGCAGCUACCUAUAUUCUUAUUGACGGUCAGAGACGAAAGCUUGGGUAGCAAACGGG